rnacentral:rRNA from 1 species
AUUGAACGCUGGCGGCAUGCCUUACACAUGCAAGUCGAACGGCAGCACGGGUGCUUGCACCUGGUGGCGAGUGGCGAACGGGUGAGUAAUACAUCGGAACAUGUCCUGUAGUGGGGGAUAGCCCGUCGAAAGCCGGAUUAAUACCGCAUACGAUCUACUGAUGAAAGCGGGGGACCUUCGGGCCUCGCGCUAUAGGGUUGGCCGAUGGCUGAUUAGCUAGUUGGUGGGGUAAAGGCCUACCAAGGCGACGAUCAGUAGCUGGUCUGAGAGGACGACCAGCCACACUGGGACUGAGACACGGCCCAGACUCCUACGGGAGGCAGCAGUGGGGAAUUUUGGACAAUGGGCGAAAGCCUGAUCCAGCAAUGCCGCGUGUGUGAAGAAGGCCUUCGGGUUGUAAAGCACUUUUGUCAGGAAAGAAAUCCUUGGCCCUAAUACGGUCGGGGGAUGACGGUACCGGAAGAAUAAGCACCGGCUAACUACGUG